CAAACCUUAGGUGGAUAAAUGCAAUUUGCUCUUUCUAGAUCUGGUUUCAAUUUUGAAUGGAAAUAAUCAGCAGCUUGGCUGAAGCUGAAUGAGUCUCCCUGUUCAGUUCCUUUCAACCCCGCUGUUGAAGUUGGACUUUGAAUUUAUAGACUCUAGGGAAGCUUCUAAUAUAUAUAUGUGACUCAUGAUCUGGAUCUAGGCACAGUGAAUUUGUUGAAAAAAUUAUGGCCCCCAAGAAUUGGAAAUUUAUUUUUAUUGCUUUCACAAUUCUGAAGGUGCUUGUCGUGCUUCUGAUCAUAGCCUCAGAAUGGUCUGCAAGCAAAUUUGGAUGGGCUUUGGAGUCUUCAGUAAUGGGUCGUGUACAGAUUCGGAAUAAGCUUUUGCAGUUUCACUGGUAGGACUCCAGGGAAUACUUUUGACUGCUGAUCGUCCCUGGAAUUACAAAUUUAAUUACAAUCUUCACCAUUCUGGUUGCUUACAUUUGGAAGCUGACCUGGGUAAUUAUUUUUUCUGAUAAUAUUUUAUAUAUUUUAUGCUGAAAGAGUGCCAAUCAUGUUUGUUCAUUGAAAAUUCUGAUGUAUCUGAAGAGUUGAGGAUCUUUCCUAAUGUAAAGAGAGUGAAAUUGGAACUCAACAAAUACAUUACAAAUUGUUGUUCCUGCCAAUUGUAGUUCUGGAAAGUCACCUCCAUGAUAUGAUGAAGCACACCAUCUGUUUGCCUUUAGUCUGAA